GAUCACUGCAGGUGUAGAUGUAUGCACCUUAUCUGACACCCUCCCACGGUACAUGGCCACUACGAACCGGGGAUUGGCCGGGUUCCUAGACCGGGUUCCUAGACCGGGUUCCUAGACCGAGUUCCUAGAACAGAUUCCUAGAACAGAUUCCUAGACCUGGAUUCACAGCCAUGUUGUGAGCCUAAGGAUCGGACUCUUCAGACCCAGGAUCCAACUCAUAUAAGAUUACCAACAAUUGUGAUGGCGAGCUACCAGAAAGGAUUAAGUUGGGAAAGUACUACGCAUGAUUCUGU